rnacentral:piRNA from 1 species
UACCGAAGGCGCCAUUCUUUGCAGAAUGU